rnacentral:rRNA from 1 species
GGAUGGUGCAAACGUUCAACGGAAUUACUGGGCGUCGGGAGGGGGAAUGGGGGUUGUUAUCUCAGCUGUGAAACCCCCUGGCUCAGCCUGGGAUCUGUCUUUAAUACUGGUCUAGUAGACUAAGAUAGAGGGAGGUAUAUUUCCUUGUGUAGCGGUGAUGGGCGUACAUUUCUGGGGGAAUACCUGUGGCGAAGGGGGCCUCCUGGCUCGAUACUGACGCUGAGGUGCGAAAGCGUGGGGAUCAAACAGGAUUAGAUACCCUGGUAGUCCACGCCGUAAACGAUGUCUACUAGCCGUUGGGAGACUUGAUUUCUUAGUGGCGCAGCUAACGCUUUAAGUAGACCGCCUGGGGAGUACGGCCGCAAGGUUA